rnacentral:rRNA from 1 species
GACGAACGCUGGCGGCGUGCUUAACACAUGCAAGUCGAACGGAAAGGCCCUGCUUUUGUGGGGUGCUCGAGUGGCGAACGGGUGAGUAACACGUGAGUAGCCUGCCCUUGACUUUGGGAUAACUUCAGGAAACUGGGGCUAAUACCGGAUAGGAGCUCCUGCUGCAUGGUGGGGGUUGGAAAGUUUCGGCGGUUGGGGAUGGACUCGCGGCUUAUCAGCUUGUUGGUGGGGUAGUGGCUUACCAAGGCUUUGACGGGUAGCCGGCCUGAGAGGGUGACCGGCCACAUUGGGACUGAGAUACGGCCCAGACUCCUACGGGAGGCAGCAGGGGGGAAUAUUGCACAAUGGGCGGAAGCCUGAUGCAGCAACGCCGCGUGCGGGAUGACGGCCUUCGGGUUGUAAACCGCUUUCGCCUGUGACGAAGCGUGAGUGACGGUAAUGGGUAAAGAAGCACCGGCUAACUACGU